CCUACGGGAGGCAGCAGUGGGGAAUUUUGCGCAAUGGGGGAAACCCUGACGCAGCAACGCCGCGUGAGUGAUGAAGGCCUUCGGGUUGUAAAGCUCUUUUAGUGGGGAAGAAGCCCAACCGGGCUAAUAUCCCGGGUGGAUGACGGUACCCACAGAAAAAGUUCCGGCUAACUACGUGCCAGCAGCCGCGGUAAUACGUAGGGAGCAAGCGUUGUUCGGAAUUAUUGGGCGUAAAGAGCGCGUAGGCGGUUCGGUAAGUCUGACGUGAAAUCCCGGAGCU
rnacentral:rRNA from 1 species